UGAUGAGUGAGUAUAGUUUUACGCCGCUUUUAGCAAUAUUCCAACAAUAUCAGACGAGGGACUCCAGAAAUCGGCUACACGCAUUGAACGCAUGUGAGAAUCAAACA